rnacentral:rRNA from 1 species
AGAGUUUGAUUCUGGCUCAGGAUGAACGCUGGCGGCGUGCUUAACACAUGCAAGUCGAACGGAGUUACCUCGCUGAAGCGAGCUUGCUCAAUUCUUGAGGUAACUUAGUGGCGGACGGGUGAGUAACGCGUGGGUAACCUGCCGUAUGCUGGGGGACAACAGUUGGAAACGACUGCUAAUACCGCAUAAGCGCACAGUACCGCAUGGUACAGUGUGAAAAACUCCGGUGGCAUACGAUGGACCCGCGUCUGAUUAGCUAGUUGGCGGUGUAACGGACCACCAAGGCGACGAUCAGUAGCCGGCCUGAGAGGGUGAACGGCCACAUUGGGACUGAGACACGGCCCAAACUCCUACGGGAGGCAGCAGUGGGGAAUAUUGGACAAUGGGGGAAACCCUGAAUCCAGCGACGCCGCGUGAGUGAAGAAGUAUUUCGGUAUGUAAAGCUCUAUCAGCAGGAAAGAAAAUGACGGUACCUGACUAAGAAGCCCCGGCUAACUACGUGCCAGCCGCGGC